GAUCCUGGCUCAGGAUGAACGCUGGCGGCGUGCCUAACACAUGCAAGUCGAGCGAGAAGCUCAUCACAGAAGCUUCGGUUGAAGUGAUGAGUGGAAAGCGGCGGACGGGUGAGUAACGCGUAGGCAACCUGCCCUUUGCAGAGGGAUAGCCUCGGGAAACCGGGAUUAAAACCUCAUGACACCUCUAAAAGACAUCUUUGAGAGGUCAAAGAUUUAUCGGCAAAGGAUGGGCCUGCGU
rnacentral:rRNA from 1 species